GACGAACGCUGGCGGCGUGCUUAACACAUGCAAGUCGAACGGAAAGGCCCUGCUUUUGUGGUGGGCUCGAGUGUCGAACGGGUGAGUAACAAGUGAUUAACCUCCCCUUGGCAUUGUGAUAACUUCAGGAAACUAAGGCUAAUACCCGAUAGCAACUCCUGCAUCAUGCAGUGGAUUCGAAAGUUUUUGCUGUUGGGGAUGGACUCGCGGCUUAUAAGCUUGCUGGUCGGGUAGUGUCUUUCCAAGGCUUACAGCGGAAGCCGGCCUGAGAGAGUGACCGGGGCCAUAGGGACUGAGAGACGGCGCAGAGUCCUAUACGAGGCAGAGGUGGGGAGUAUUGCGCAAUAGGGGGAAGCCUGUGGCAGAAAAGCCGCGUGCGGGAUAACGGCCUUUUGGUUGUAAAAAGAUUUCGAAUGAGACGAGGAGUGAGUGACGGUAAUGGAUAAAGAAGCACCGGCUAACUACGUG
rnacentral:rRNA from 1 species